rnacentral:rRNA from 1 species
GAUGAACGCUGGCGGCGUGCCUAAUACAUGCAAGUCGAGCGAACAGACGAGGAGCUUGCUCCUCUGACGUUAGCGGCGGACGGGUGAGUAACACGUGGAUAACCUACCUAUAAGACUGGGAUAACUUCGGGAAACCGGAGCUAAUACCGUAUAAUAUAUUGAACCGCAUGGUUCAAUAGUGAAAGACGGUUUUGCUGUCACUUAUAGAUGGAUCCGCGCCGCAUUAGCUAGUUGGUAAGUUAACGGCUUACCAAGGCAACGAUGCGUAGCCGACCUGAGAGGGUGAUCGGCCACACUGGAACUGAGACACGGUCCAGACUCCUACGGGAGGCAGCAGUAGGGAAUCUUCCGCAAUGGGCGAAAGCCUGACGGAGCAACGCCGCGUGAGUGAUGAAGGUCUUCGGAUCGUAAAACUCUGUUAUUAGGGAAGAACAAAUGUGUAGGUAACUAUGCACGUCUUGACGGUACCUAAUCAGAAAGCCACGGCUAACUACGUG